GCCCCAAUGGUGGAAUUUGGUAGACACGUAUGUCUUAGGAACAUAUGCCUUAGGGUGUGCAGGUUCGAUUCCUGCUUGGGGUA
rnacentral:tRNA from 1 species